UACAGAGGUGGCAAGCGUUGUUCGGAAUUACUGGGCGUAAAGCGCACGUAGGCGGAUCUUUAAGUCAGGGGUGAAAUCCUGGAGCUCAACUCCAGAACUGCCUUUGAUACUGGGGAUCUCGAGUCCGGGAGAGGUGAGUGGAACUCCGAGUGUAGAGGUGAAAUUCGUAGAUAUUCGGAAGAACACCAGUGGCGAAGGCGGCUCACUGGCCCGGUACUGACGCUGAGGUGCGAAAGCGUGGGGAGCAAACAGG
rnacentral:rRNA from 1 species